GCCAGGUGUGGUGGCUCACGCCUGUAAUCCCAACACUUUGGGAGGCUGAGGUGGGUGCAUCACCUGAGGUCAGGAGUUCAAGACCAGCCUGGCCAACAAGGUGAAACCCCAUCUCUA
rnacentral:SRP_RNA from 1 species